rnacentral:rRNA from 1 species
GGCCGGUAGGGUUGUCAAGCUCUUUCAACGGUGAAGAUAAUGACGGUACCCGCAGAAGAAGCCCCGGCUAACUUCGUGCCAGCAGCCGCGGUAAUACGAAGGGGGCAAGCGUUAUUCGGAUUUACUGGGCGUAAAGCGCACGUAGGCGGUUUUUUAAGUCAGGUGUGAAAUCCCGGGGCUCACCCCCGGAACUGCCUUUGAUACUGGAAGUCUAGAGUAUGGAAGAGGUGAGUGGAAUUCCGAGUGUAGCGGUGAAAUUCGUAGAUAUUCGGAGGAACACCAGUGGCGAAGGCGGCUCACUGGUACAUCACUGACGCUGAGGCGCGAAAGCGUGGGGAGCAAACAGGAUUAGAUACCCUGGUAGU